GCCGGGGUGGCAGAGCGGUAAUGCGCUGGCCUUGAGAGCCAGUGGCCCAUGAGGGCCGCAAGGGUUCGAAUCCCUUCCCCGGCG
rnacentral:tRNA from 1 species